CCAGUUGGGGGGAGGCACCUCUUAGGGAGUCCAGGACAGUCUGGAGGGGUCUCUUUGCUAUGGGCUCCUGAAGGAGUUGGGGGCUGAAGGCAUCACUGAGAGGGGGGAGUGUGGGGCCCGAUCUGCCCUGGGUCCCGGUCGUGGGAAGGGGGCACAAUGCCCCACCGUGCCCCCGUCCUUCCCCCGAGUGGCAGCAGGCGUCACCCUGUCGCCUUCUCUCCCUGGUGCAGGGACUGCCAGGGACUCAGGGGACGAGGAGGAGGAAUGGGUGGACGUGGCCACAGAGGAGGCUGCUCUCAAUAACAGCCGAGAGCAGCUCCAAGGCGGAGAAAAGGAGGAGGCCCAGCAGCUUGUGUUCCUGCACGCCAUCCACCCCGCGUCUCGCUGCACAGCAGAGAGGGCAGGACACAGUGGAGCCGCACUGCUGCAAGGCGGCUGUGGCGGAGAGGAUUGUGCACCAUGACACCUGCCCUGGAGCCAGAGCUGGAGACCCACCUCCUCCGAGCUGUCCUGCACGCCGUCUUCACCCUGGGCAUGGAGAAGGACACCACCCAAGUGCAGGUAGAUCAUGCUAAAGUCAUGGAUUGAAGAGCCAGCUUUCAUCCUGCCAUGAGUCCUUGCUAAUUGCCUGCAGUGGGAUGUGAAGGAGAGAGGCCAGGAUAUGUGUUUGGGGGUCUCACCAGUGCUUCCCAGAGACCCGUCUUCCCAUCCUGUGGCAAGUUUAGCCCCAGUUUCCCUAACUCUGACCCAUGGCUCUCCCUUGCUUUCAGGAUCUGCCUAGGGUCUUGCCAGACCUCCUGGACGCCUUGCUGGGGAACCUGCUGGCAGAGUCCCCAAACACCGACAGUCUCCAGUACAUCUUGGAGGUGAGCCCGAUGAGAGGGGUGGGGGCAAUUUUACCUUCACUCUUAGAUCCAUUUUCCAGUCUGUCCUCCUAGCCGGGCCCCAAGUGGGCAUCCUUGGUCAGGGCAGUCAGUGCAAUGCCUCCUUUCCCGACAGCACAUUAACUACUGGAUCUUGUCCACGGUGCGGCGAGAGAGAGCCAGGGCCGUUAAGAGCAGCACUGCCCUGCUCAGAUUCACCAUCACCCUCCCUGAGUUUGACGUAAGUGACCUCUGACCCCAGCUUCCUGACUCCAGGCGUAGGUGAUCUGGCUCCGACGGGCUGUAGGAUCUGCUGCUGCAGGGGCUGUGGG